rnacentral:rRNA from 1 species
GUGCCAGCAGCCGCGGUAAUACGGAAUGUGCAAACGUUAUUCGGAAUCACUGGGCUUAAAGAGUCCGUAGGCGGCUUGUUAGGUGAGGUGUGAAAUCCCCCGGCUCAACCGAGGAAUUGCGCUUCAAACCGGCGAGCUUGAGGAAGAUAGAGGUGGGCGGAACUGAUGGUGGAGCGGUGAAAUGCGUUGAUAUCAUCAGGAACACCGGAGGCGAAAGCGGCCCACUGGGUCUUUUCUAACGCUGAGGGACGAAAGCUAGGGGAGCGAACGGGAUUAGAUACCCCGGUAGUCCUAGCCUUAAACGAUGAGCACUAGACCGAAGGAUUUCCACAAUUUUUUGGUCGUAGCGAAAGUGUUAAGUGCUCCGCCUGGGGAGUAUGGUCGCAAGGCUGAA